rnacentral:rRNA from 1 species
GAUGAACGCUGGCGGCGUGCCUAAUACAUGCAAGUCGAGCGAACGGACGAGAAGCUUGCUUCUCUGAUGUUAGCGGCGGACGGGUGAGUAACACGUGGAUAACCUACCUAUAAGACUGGGAUAACUUCGGGAAACCGGAGCUAAUACCGGAUAAUAUUUUGAACCGCAUGGUUCAAAAGUGAAAGACGGUCUUGCUGUCACUUAUAGAUGGAUCCGCGCUGCAUUAGCUAGUUGGUAAGGUAACGGCUUACCAAGGCAACGAUGCAUAGCCGACCUGAGAGGGUGAUCGGCCACACUGGAACUGAGACACGGUCCAGACUCCUACGGGAGGCAGCAGUAGGGAAUCUUCCGCAAUGGGCGAAAGCCUGACGGAGCAACGCCGCGUGAGUGAUGAAGGUCUUCGGAUCGUAAAACUCUGUUAUUAGGGAAGAACAUAUGUGUAAGUAACUGUGCACAUCUUGACGGUACCUAAUCAGAAAGCCACGGCUAACUACGUGCCAGCAGCCGCGGUAAUACGUAGGUGGCAAGCGUUAUCCGGAAUUAUUGGGCGUAAAGCGCGCGUAGGCGGUUUUUUAAGUCUGAUGUGAAAGCCCACGGCUCAACCGUGGAGGGUCAUUGGAAACUGGAAAACUUGAGUGCAGAAGAGGAAAGUGGAAUUCCAUGUGUAGCGGUGAAAUGCGCAGAGAUAUGGAGGAACACCAGUGGCGAAGGCGACUUUCUGGUCUGUAACUGACGCUGAUGUGCGAAAGCGUGGGGAUCAAACAGGAUUAGAUACCCUGGUAGUCCACGCCGUAAACGAUGAGUGCUAAGUGUUAGGGGGUUUCCGCCCCUUAGUGCUGCAGCUAACGCAUUAAGCACUCCGCCUGGGGAGUACGACCGCAAGGUUGAAACUCAAAGGAAUUGACGGGGACCCGCACAAGCGGUGGAGCAUGUGGUUUAAUUCGAAGCAACGCGAAGAACCUUACCAAAUCUUGACAUCCUUUGACAACUCUAGAGAUAGAGCCUUCCCCUUCGGGGGACAAAGUGACAGGUGGUGCAUGGUUGUCGUCAGCUCGUGUCGUGAGAUGUUGGGUUAAGUCCCGUAACGAGCGCAACCCUUAAGCUUAGUUGCCAUCAUUAAGUUGGGCACUCUAAGUUGACUGCCGGUGACAAACCGGAGGAAGGUGGGGAUGACGUCAAAUCAUCAUGCCCCUUAUGAUUUGGGCUACACACGUGCUACAAUGGACAAUACAAAGGGCAGCGAAACCGCGAGGUCAAGCAAAUCCCAUAAAGUUGUUCUCAGUUCGGAUUGUAGUCUGCAACUCGACUACAUGAAGCUGGAAUCGCUAGUAAUCGUAGAUCAGCAUGCUACGGUGAAUACGUUCCCGGGUCU